CAGCAGCCACGGUAAUACGUAGGUGGCAAGCGUUGUCCGGAAUUAUUGGGCGUAAAGCGCGCGCAGGCGGAUAGGUCAGUCUGUCUUAAAAGUUCGGGGCUUAACCCCGUGAUGGGAUGGAAACUGCCAAUCUAGAGUAUCGGAGAGGAAAGUGGAAUUCCUAGUGUAGCGGUGAAAUGCGUAGAUAUUAGGAAGAACACCAGUGGCGAAGGCGACUUUCUGGACGAAAACUGACGCUGAGGCGCGAAAGCCAGGGGAGCGAACGGGAUUAGAUACCCCCGUAGUCCCUGUCUCUUAUACA
rnacentral:rRNA from 1 species